UCAGCGAUGUCCGGCGAGUU
rnacentral:snRNA from 1 species